rnacentral:misc_RNA from 1 species
CCGCAGACUUUACCAAUUCACUAGACCCAAAAACAUCACUCACCUUCUUAUCCACAACAACCUCUUCGCUCGCAUUCUCCACAUUUACCAUUCUUCUAAUGUUCCUCUUCUUACUUCCUCCCUCAUUAUCAUCCAACAAUUCUACUCUUUUCCUCACCAAUUCCUUCUUCUCUGCUCUCUGCUUCGUCGCCUGAAUCCUCGCACUUACUCUCCUUUGAGAAGAAACCACCACCUCUACGUUCCCUUUGGGACUCUUCUUUUCUCUAUUAACUCGGGAACCAAGCUUCCCGUUAUCAACAGAGUGCAAGGACUGAGCCACCAUUUUCAGUCAAAUCAAAUACCAAACAAUGUGGAAAUUUUGAUUUCGGAAGGCGAAAAGAAGCGGACAAGAAA